CUCCGUUCUAAGAGGCUUUGUUCUCAGCCUUCUGAGAUGCUCUGUUCUCAACGUUCUGUGGUCCUAAGAGUCUGAGCCUGACAUUGGUUUCCAAGGUUCCCUCCUCCCUCCUCUGGCUCCGCGAGCGGGGCUGGCGCCCCCUCAGGCGGCCAGCCUGUGUCACUACGCCGAGUGUGCGUCCCUACAAGCUUCAAGAUGUAGUGCCAAUAUUCAUACCCAUUUCUCAGACAGACCUUGACUCUUUAAAAGCCAGGGACCCGAAGAUCACGUGAGAAUGUCCCCAUUUUAUGACUUCCUGCGCACCAGGCGACCUCCCAGUCGUGAGCCAGAGAAGCAACGGCAGGGAUUGAGGGCAAAAAGAUUGCCUGGGGGUGAGCCGCAGCUCUGCCACUUUCCAGCUGUGUAACCUUGGGAAACUUGCUUAACCUCUCUGUGCCUCAAUUUCCUCAUCUGUGUAAUGGGGGUCAUAACACUGUCUGCCUCAUACAGUUGUUAUGAGGCGUAAAUGAGAGAUUUGUCACUUUGACACUUGGAGCAGUGUCUUCCAGGUAUAAAAAGCCACGAAAGGGUCUGGAAAAUAAGCACAAAUGAGUCUGGACUUUAGUAGGGACAAACUUUACUCAGUCUCCCUCUUGUUUAAGACAGAACUACACCGUCCUUAAACGGCCUUAAUUUUCCAACAAGGGAGAGAUGACACGGACUGACCCUGGGCGGAUAUGGAGAGCUCACUCUCCAACAAGAUUUUCUUAGUGUCUGCGGUGAUGUCAGGACUGGCUUUUCGUCCCUGCUGUUUGUGCAAGACCUGUUGAACCAUUUGAUGUGUAAAAUGUUGAAUCUGGAGCCGACUGAGGGCACCAGGCGUUUGAAGAUGAGUAUUCCUGGGAAGAGAAAUCCAAAGAGAACUAUUCAUGGUUGAAUAAGGGCCUAAAACCAAGAUCUGAGGCCAGACGGCAGCCAGUCGAGAGGGUUCCGAGAAGGAGGUGAGAAGAGAUCGUUGGUUGGUGGCGUCAGAACAGCGGUAGCAACUGGGCAGACCGCCUUGUCGGCUUCUCCAUCUUCUUGUUCGUGGUGAUAAUGUCUGAGUUCCUGAGGAACAGGCAGGAGCUGCUCCCAACCACAGCACACAAGUUCCUCCCCUGGAAGCCCCUUGCCUGGGUACAGACGUCGCCUGAAUAUGGUCGGAGGCCAUGUCAGAUCCUUGGAAUUUACUCCCAAGCAUCUGGCUUCUUAUUCACGCCUCCUUUAGAUCCUAAGGAAAAAAGAGAUCACAGUCAUCCCGGAUCUUGUGUCUGUGUGGUGAUUUUCAGCCCCCACACGAUUUGGCAGACCCCUUCGUCUGUGAGGACUUGGGGGUUUGAGAAGAGAGUGAAUUUUAUCGAUAGAAUGAAGGGGAAUCGAAACUCUGACAAGAUAACUGGAGCCCAUUCGGCUGGUGGACAGACACCAGUCUGCGAAACCUCCACACACAGAGUCUGCAUCCUUGGGGUCCAUCCAAGCCACAUAAAAAUAAUUGUCUUGUUUAUUUGAGCGGUCAGAAAACAAGUGUUGAUUAAAGGUGGAAAACCAAGAAGAAGCUGCGGGGGACAGGACUGGGCUAUGAGAUGAGUCAUAAGAGGAGUGAUGCCACUGAUCCCAAGAGAAAUUGUCAGCAGCAUCAGUUGACUUGAGUGACCCAGGCUGGCAUGGCUUGAUAAGCGGUGCCAUGUCCACACCCGGGAUCCGAACCGGUGAACCCCAAGCUGCCAAAGCGGAACGUGUGCACUUAACCGCUGCACCACCAGGCCGGCCCUGGGUAAGAUUUUGAUAGCCGGAAGCCCCAGGUGAGCUCAGUGAGGAGGUGGUGCCCGCCAUUAGGGUUGUUACGGUGGCAUUUCCCACAUAAAAGGUCCAGCAAUUCCAGAGACUGAGUUCGAUGAAGGGGCUGUUAGGGACGUCGUGCCAGAAGCACAUGAAUCCUGAUUCAUCGAUGGUAGGGGUCCCGGGAGGUUCCUGCGACAAUCAAUGGGUGAAAGCAGAAAGGGACUGUGAGUCGGGAUGGAGAGGGACGUGAAAGAAAGCAGAGGAGAUGCUAAGACAUUCAAACGGGUGGUGCUGGAGGUACAUGUGGAGCCCAGGAUGGUGUUUCGAGUGGGAACUGGCGAGAACCUCUUUGAUUGACGGCCUCCAGGUCUUGGACCAGCGAGCAUCCUCAUGUCCAGUGUCGAAUACUACACAGCCAUAAAAAAAGAUGGAAUCUUGCCACUUGGGACAACAUGGAUGGACCUUGAGGGUGUUAUGUAAAGUGAAAUAAAUCAGACAGAGAAAGUCAAAUACCGUAUGAUGUCACUCGUAUGUGGAAGAUAAAACAACAAACAGAGAUACAGAGAACAGAUUGGUGGUUUCCAGAGGGGGAGAGGGGUGGAGGG
rnacentral:lncRNA from 1 species